AUGCCAUGUGACCAGGGUGCUGUUGACUUUGUGUGUCCCAUGGUGUGCUUGGCAAACAGAGAGAUUUACCCAAGGCCACCUCGUUGCCAUCUGCCAGGUUGGGAGCUUUGGAGCAGGAGGCAGAGGACGGGGCUCUGCCUGGCAUGCACUUGCCCCUCUGGCUCUCCUGGGGUGCCCACCCAGAGAUGCUGGCCACGCAGAUGGGUGCGUCCAGGAAGGCGACUCCGUAUACCACUGAGGACUUCUCUGCAACACUCUGGAAGUCUUUAUCAAGGGGUUGCCCGUUCUAGAAUACUCUAUGUGAUUGCUGCCUCCACAUCGGGCUCCCAUUAAGUUUUCACGUAAGUUUGAAGAUCACUUCAUGAUCUCAUAUACUCUGCAUGAGGCAUAUAAGCCCAGAGCUUAGUGUCCCCCGAGAGAGUCCUGGUCAGCAAAUGUGCUGGGUCACCUGGCCAGAUCCACUGGCUGGUGGCUUGCUCCAUGGACAGAGGCAGAAAAAGGCAUCUGCCACCCAGACCGCAAAGAAGGGCACAGUGCACUGUCAGUCUGGGUGAUGGCUGAGCUUGCAGGGGUCAGCACAGAGGGGGGGAUGCCACUGGGGCUCAUGGUGGGUGGGACUGGCCCACGGUGAGUGCCCGGUGCACGUUCACUGGGAUUAUCAUGAUGAGAACCACACUCGAGUGCUGCCAUCCUACUCCACUGCCCAUCUUGGGUUGUGCUCCUUGUCAAAGCCAUUGCAUUUGGUCCUUAGGUAGAACCUUCUGGAAAGGCUAAGGAGCACAUUCUCAUUUUGUAGGUAAAGAAAAAAUUCAGGAACUGGCUUCAGGUGGCCCCUGAGCCAUCUCUCUGAGGAGGAGGUACCUGCGGGUGGACCAUUACCCAGGUGAGAAUGUGCUUGGAUCCCAGGACCGGGAGUUCAGGGACCUCGGCUCUUCCUGGUGGGGCCCCUUGAGCUCCGACUGGGGCUCGCUCGUCAUUUUGUCGUGGGUUGCAUUCGGGGCAGGUGCUCUGUGUCAUGAGGCCGUAGAGUGGGAGUGGGGGGAGGUGACCCAAGUGUCUCUUCUCCUGGAAGGCUUGGCUGGGAGAGGCCGGAGGAGGGGCAGGAGCGGCCGCGGACGGGCCUGCGCGUGUGCGUGGGGGUGGGUGCGCGGGGCCCGCGGACAGGGGCGCAGGCUGUCCCUGCGGAGGCGGGGGGGGGGGGGGGGGGGGGGCCCUUCCCGGGACGUCGUCUGCUCCCAGCGCAGGAGGCCGCUCCGCCACCGCCACCGCCACCGCCACCGCCACCGGACCCCACGCCUGCGCCCGCGCCGCCGGCCUCGCCCUCCCGCCCGGGGGCUGAGCCCGGCCUGAGGCCCCGGGUCGCGGCGAGGGCAGGGGGCGCCGGUGGGGGGAGGGGCGCGGGG
rnacentral:lncRNA from 1 species